rnacentral:rRNA from 1 species
GAUGAACGCUGGCGGCGUGSUUAACACAUGCAAGUCGAGCGAUGAAGUUUCCUUCGGGAAACGGAUUAGCGGCGGACGGGUGAGUAACAYGUGGGUAACMUGCCUCAUAGAGUGGAAUAGCCUUCCGAAAGGGAGAUUAAUACCGCAUAAUGUUGAAAGAUGGCAUCAUCAUUCAACCAAAGGAGCAAUCCGUAUGAGAUGGACCCGCGGCGCAUUAGCUAGUUGGUGGGGUAACGGCCUACCAAGGMGRCGAUGCGUAGCCGGCCUGCAGRARGRUGUAUCRGGRGCSCCWAC